UCCAGACUCCUACGGGAGGCAGCAGUGGGGGAUAUUGCACAAUGGGGGGAACCCUGAUGCAGCGACGCCGCGUGGGUGAAGGAGCGUUUCGGCGCGUAAAGCCCUAUCGGCAGGGAAGAAGGAGGACGGUACCUGACUAAGAAGCCCCGGCUAACUACGUGCCAGCAGCCGCGGUAAUACGUAGGGGGCAAGCGUUAUCCGGAUUUACUGGGUGUAAAGGGGGCGCAGACGGCAGCGCAAGCCAGGAGUGAAAGCCCGGGGCCCAACCCCGGGACUGCAUUGGAAACUGUCAGGCUAGAGUGUCGGAGAGGCAAGUGGAAUUCCUAGUGUAGCGGUGAAAUGCGUAGAUAUCAGGAGGAACACCGGCGGCGAAGGCGGCUUACUGGACGGCAACUGACGUUGAGGCCCGAAAGCGCGGGGAGCGAACAGGAUUAGAUACCCCGGUAA
rnacentral:rRNA from 1 species